UCGAGGAUCAUUUGCAAUGGGCGAAAGCCUGACAAUGCGACGCUGCGUGGAGGAUGAAGGCCUUCGGGUUGUAAACUCCUGUCAUGGGGGAACAGGCGAGGGGACCCAAUACGUCCCUUAGUUGAGUGUACCCCAAGAGGAAUUGGCGGCUAACUCUGUGCCAGCAGCCGCGGUAAUACAGAGGCCAAGAGCGUUGUUCGGAUUUACUGGGCGUAAAGGGCGCGUAGGCGGCAAGGCGUGUCAAGUGUGAAAUCUCCGGGCCCAACCCGGAAAGUGCGCUUGAAACUACCAUGCUUUGAGUCCGGGAGGGGAAUCGGAAUACAGGGUGUAGCGGUGAAAUGCGUUGAUAUCCUGUAGAACACCGGAGGCGAAGGCGGAUUCCUUGAACGGUACUGACGCUGAGGCGCGAAAGUCGGGGGAGCAAACAGGAUUAGAUACCCUGGUAGU
rnacentral:rRNA from 1 species